AUCAUCCUCCUCGUAGCAAACUAACCUUCAGUGUAACACCACCGUAUCCCGCCGAUGGCAGGAAAUCGCCACCGCUGCCAGCGUAACUCCAAAUCCAUCCAAAUUAACACCGCAUGCUCACCGUCUUCUCCUCUUUCCAACCCCCUAAAUAUCACCCAUCGAAUCCCGGCCAGACGUGUCGAAUAUUCCUCCAAAGGAGCGGCUGCUCCAUCGUCCACGGCGACGCCGGCUCCAAUGGCUCCCAAAAACACACCCCAUACUUCCCUUUGCCUCCUCUACCCA
rnacentral:lncRNA from 1 species